AACGAACGCUGGCGGCAGGCUUAACACAUGCAAGUCAAGCGCCCCGCAAGGGGAGCGGCAGACGGGUGAGUAACGCGUGGGAAUCUACCCAUCUCUACGGAAUAACGCAUGGAAACGUGUGCCAAUACCGUAUACGUCCUUCGGGAGAGAGAUUUAUCGGGGAUGGAUGAGCCCGCGUUGGAUUAGCUAGUUGGUGGGGUAAAGGCCUACCAAGGCGACGAUCCAUAGCUGGUCUGAGAGGAUGAUCAGCCACACUGGGACUGAGACACGGCCCAGACUCCUACGGGAGGCAGCAGUGGGGAAUAUUGGACAAUGGGCGCAAGCCUGAUCCAGCCAUGCCGCGUGAGUGAUGAAGGCCCUAGGGUUGUAAAGCUCUUUCACCGGUGAAGAUAAUGACGGUAACCGGAGAAGAAGCCCCGGCUAACUUCGUGCCAGCCGCCGCCGUAAUAC
rnacentral:rRNA from 1 species